rnacentral:rRNA from 2 species
GAGUCCUGAAGGAACGUUGAAGACGACGACGUUGAUAGGCCGGGUGUGUAAGCGCAGCGAUGCGUUGAGCUAACCGGUACUAAUGAACCGUGAGGCUUAACCUU